rnacentral:rRNA from 1 species
AACGUAGGAGACAAACGUUAUCCGGAGUUACUGGGCGUAAAGGGCGUGUAGGUGGUUGUGUAAGUCUGGCGUGAAAUUUUUCGGCUUAACCGGGAAAGGUCGUCGGAUACUGCACAACUAGAGGACGGUAGAGGCGUGUGGAAUUCCGGGUGUAGUGGUGAAAUGCGUAGAGAUCUGGAGGAACACCAGUGGCGAAGGCGACACGCUGGGCCGUACCUGACACUGAUGCGCGACAGCAUGGGGAGCAAACAGG